AGGUCAUGGGCUCACCCCAGGCAGGUCACCACUGCAAAUCGAUGCUACAUACAGCCUGCAACAUCUGCCCAUUGCAGCAGACACCAGAUGAAAGCAGCAUCCAGCCAUUCAACAACUGAGUUUUGCUGCAUAUAUUCUCCCAAGGCCAUGAGAAUGAAGAUUCCUUAAGGACAUAGGAAGGUGAUCUCUGACAACACAUUCUCAGCUGGCAGGAUUGAAGCAACUGUACAAAGCAAAGCAGUCACGAAUUUAGGCUUCUGGGUAGUCAAGAACCAUGGCAUGAAGACUGAGGAUGGUGAUGACAGAGGAAGGAAGCUGUUUCCUGAUUCCAUUGGACAGACUUCACUUAGAUCACUGUUCUUGACCUUGGAUGGGAAUGACAAGCCAGUGUCCCAGGUUUCCUCUACCAUGACAGGCCUUAUAUGAAGGCCAAAGUACACGUGGCACCAUGAUGAACUCUUAGUCAAAGCUUUCAUCUUGAUCAUCUUCAGUGAGAUUAUUUUUGACAAGCCCUUGACCAUAGAUUUACUGCUCUAAAUCUUGAACCAAUAUGCUGCCAAUAAGCAUCCCUUCCAGCACUGAUGCUAGGAAAUCCUCCUGACAGCAAAACCUGACGCCCUUCUUUCAGCAUAGCCUCACACGAACAACGUCAUUUCUAGACCCUGUGUCUUCCUUCUGUAGGAGGAUGAAGUCUGGGACAUCUACCUUUGAGGAGAAGGAAGAAGCAAAAAGUAAAACCCUAAAUUUAAACUGGAUAAAGAAAAGGAUUAAAGAUAGCAAAAAGAACAGCAAAAAACCCCAGAAGGAAUAACAGCAAACAACAACAAAAUGCAGUGUCCAUGCCAAUGGGCCCUAGCAGCAAGCUGCUGAGCGGAGGGCUUCUUUGAGCUACAAUACAGGUCAUGGAGGAACACAAACAAAGUGGAGCGAUUGGAGAAUAAGGUACACACAGUGAUGAAGGCACCACAAAAAAAGCUAACUCUUCCAGAUGACAACAUGGAAUUGAAAAUUCAAGGGCUAAACACAAUUAAAUGCCGUAAACUGUUCUGAACCCAGAGCCUGGGACAAAGUCUGCCCCCCAAAAAGCCAGUGGACAUUUAAAAAAUGGCUACGGAUUUGUAUGCCUUAAUUUCCCAAUUUAUUAAAUGAAAAUAAUAAGUUACCUACUUGAUAUUUUUUAUAGACUUCAUUCCUUUGAUGUUCAAAUGGCUCUAAGAUCUUGGGAGGGUAGACUGAUAUAGAAGCACAAAACAUAUUCUUUUUGAUUACCACCUUAUUGAUCAAAAUUUCUCAUAUAUUUGGAAAUUCUCCCUGAAUUGAAGUGACUUUUCAAAACCACAUAGCAGUGUUUGACUACAUGUGAAAAAUAACCUGAAGACCUUUGUUCCAAUUAAGCUGGAGAGAUGGGAAAUUUAUUCAGAAUGUUGGAUUAAUAUUCUUACUAUAAAAAAAAAUUUGUAAAUCUCUGUGAGAUAAUAAAACCUCAAAAAAACCACAGAGUAUAAAUUCUUCUCGUCUCAAAACUCUUUGGGCUUCUGAUCUGGCUACAGCAGGAGACAGAAAAAUGUAAAAUUUCAGUUCUUGGAGAAAUAACCUAUUAAAAAAAGUCUGUGUGAGGUAUAUAAAAAGGCAUUUACCAAAAAAU